rnacentral:rRNA from 1 species
UACAGAGGCCACAAGCGUUGUUCGGAAUUACUGGGCGUAAAGGGCGCGUAGGCGGCCUGCUAAGUCGAACGUGAAAUCCCUGGGCUCAACCCAGGAACUGCGUCCGAUACUGGUUGGCUUGAAUCCGGGAGAGGGAUGUGGAAUUCCAGGUGUAGCGGUGAAAUGCGUAGAUAUCUGGAGGAACACCGGUGGCGAAGGCGACAUCCUGGACCGGCAUUGACGCUGAGGCGCGAAAGCCAGGGGAGCAAACGGG